GACGAACGCGGCGGCGUGCCUAAUACAUGCAAGUCGAGCGAAGUUUUUCUGGUGCUUGCACUAGAAAAACUUAGCGGCGAACGGGUGAGUAACACGUAAAGAACCUGCCUCAUAGACUGGGACAACUAUUGGAAACGAUAGCUAAUACCGGAUAACAGUAUUUCUCGCAUGAGAGAUAUUUAAAAGUUGGUUAUGCUAACACUAUGAGAUGGCUUUGCGGUGCAUUAGCUAGUUGGUGGGGUAAAGGCCCACCAAGGCGACGAUGCAUAGCCGACCUGAGAGGGUGAUCGGCCACACUGGGACUGAGACACGGCCCAGACUCCUACGGGAGGCAGCAGUAGGGAAUCUUCCGCAAUGGGCGAAAGCCUGACGGAGCAACGCCGCGUGAGUGAAGAAGGAUUUCGGUUCGUAAAGCUCUGUUGUUAGGGAAGAAUGGAUAUGUAGUAACUAUACAUGUAAGAGACGGACCUAACCA
rnacentral:rRNA from 1 species